UUUCACAGUCGAUAAUUUUUUUGCUUAGGUAAACUGCAUGCUCUUUUCGACAAGACUCGUGAUGCUGACACCAUACACCUCAUAGACCCCUUAAGGGCUGUCAAGUACCAGAUUAACAGUUGUUUCUUCCCCGGAGGGUAUCAGAAUCAGAGGUUCCUGCUACUCAUUUUUUCUUUCCAUUCCCCUGGGCAGUCAUUAUUCCACCUGACCAUUUGAUUUUUUUCUUCUUUUUUUGUUUUUGGUUCAGGCGUU
rnacentral:lncRNA from 1 species